rnacentral:rRNA from 1 species
AUACGGAGGAUCCGAGCGUUAUCCGGAUUUAUUGGGUUUAAAGGGAGCGUAGGUGGAUUGUUAAGUCAGUUGUGAAAGUUUGCGGCUCAACCGUAAAAUUGCAGUUGAAACUGGCAGUCUUGAGUACAGUAGAGGUGGGCGGAAUUCGUGGUGUAGCGGUGAAAUGCUUAGAUAUCACGAAGAACUCCGAUUGCGAAGGCAGCUCACUAGACUGCAACUGACACUGAUGCUCGAAAGUGUGGGUAUCAAACAGGAUUAGAUACCCUGGUAGUCCACACAGUAAACGAUGAAUACUCGCUGUUUGCGAUAUACAGUAAGCGGCCAAGCGAAAGCAUUAAGUAUUCCACCUGGGGAGUACGCCGGCAACGGUGAAACUUAAAGGAAUUGACGGGG